rnacentral:piRNA from 1 species
UGGACAUUAAAAACGAAGACGAU